rnacentral:sRNA from 1 species
CAGAAAAACACGUACUUGGACAGGGUAAUAAAAUUGGGAAAAGUAAAAUUUACAAAGCAAAUUGUGUACGGCCUAAGAAGGAAAGUUCCUUUAAAGUUCAUCCUUGCUGGAAGUGACUGGGCCUCAGCAAUGAUUUAGCUGAGUUCCAACUGAUGAGUUUAGAUUGCUGGGCCAGGUUUUAUGAAGGAACCCGGGAUAGCAUCUGUUCACUUUGAAAAGAAUUCUGGCAAUUCAGCAGUGUCAUAAAUUUUCAACUGUAUAUUUUGAUUAACACAUUUUAUUGGCACCCAUAUUCUUUUCCUUAUUGCUAAUAAUACUGUGAAUGUGUGUCUUUCUGCAGCUGUGGUGCUCCCAUUCAAGUUUCCGAGGUGAAGCUGCUUUCCUUUUCAUCAGGGCAGCGAACCGUUUUCCUCCCAGCUGAGGUGAAGGCCAUAGGGACGGAGCAUGAUCACGUCCUCCCUCUGCAGGAAUUGGCCAUGAGAAGGCUGUAUCAUACCUACCACAGCUUGCUGAAAGAUUUGAACUUUCUGUCUCC